CUCUUUGGAGAUCACUCCUUGUGGAGUUUUUUGUGAGCCUACAAUACCAGAAGUUUGAUUGCUAUCCCUUGAAAAAGUAUCUGCAUUGAAAGGGUUCUUGGAGCAGCAUCUUCAGUUGGGUUGGAAGAGACUCCUCAAACUACUGUUUUGCUCUACUGGCAGUGAUUUCAAUCAACCACCCUCACUUAACUACAUACAAAACUUUAAAAUAACUACAUGGAACUACAUGAUCAUUCAUGCAGCAACAGCUUCCACUGAUCAUCUUCAGAAGAAUCUUG
rnacentral:lncRNA from 1 species